GGAUGAACGCUGGCGGCGUGCUUAACCCAUGCAAGUCGAACGGUGAAGGCGGAGCUUGCUCUGCUGGAUCAGUGGCGAACGGGUGAGUAACACGUGAGCAAUCUGCCCCUGACUCUGGGAUAAGCGCUGGAAACGGCGUCUAAUACUGGAUACGAGCUGCGAAGGCAUCUUCAGCAGCUGGAAAGAAUUUCGGUCAGGGAUGAGCUCGCGGCCUAUCAGCUUGUUGGUGAGGUAAUGGCUCACCAAGGCGUCGACGGGUAGCCGGCCUGAGAGGGUGACCGGCCACACUGGGACUGAGACACGGCCCAGACUCCUACGGGAGGCAGCAGUGGGGAAUAUUGCACAAUGGGCGAAAGCCUGAUGCAGCAACGCCGCGUGAGGGACGACGGCCUUCGGGUUGUAAACCUCUUUUAGCAGGGAAGAAGCGAAAGUGACGGUACCUGCAGAAAAAGCGCCGGCUAACUACGUG
rnacentral:rRNA from 1 species